rnacentral:rRNA from 1 species
GAUGAACGCUAGCGGCAGGCCUAAUACAUGCAAGUCGAACGGUGGUAGCGAUACCAUAGUUGCGCACGGGUGCGUAACACGUAUGCAACCUACCUUAUACUUAGGGAUAGCCUCUGGAAACGGAGAUUAAUACCUAUAAGUAAAUUGACUUGGCAUCGGGUUAAUGUUAAAGAUUUAUUGGUAUAAGAUGGGCAUGCGUCCAAUUAGUUAGUUGGUGAGGUAACGGCUCACCAAGACGAUGAUUGGUAGGGGAACUGAGAGGUUAAUCCCCCACACUGGCACUGAGAUACGGGCCAGACUCCUACGGGAGGCAGCAGUAGGGAAUAUUGGGCAAUGGAGGCAACUCUGACCCAGCCAUGCCGCGUGCAGGAUGAAGGCGUUAUGCGUUGUAAACUGCUUUUAUAUAGGAAGAAACAGACCUUGCGAGGUAGAUUGACGGUACUAUAUGAAUAAGCACCGGCUAACUCCGUGCCAGCAGCCGCAGUAAAAC